GAUGAACGCUGGCGGCGUGCUUAACACAUGCAAGUCGAACGGAGUUGUUUCGCUGACGAGACUUCGGUCAAAUCUUGAAGCAACUUAGUGGCGGACGGGUGAGUAACGCGUGGGUAACCUGCCAUAUACAGGGGGAGUAACACUUAGAAAUAGGUGCUAAUACCGCAUAAGCGCACAGAGCUGCAUGGCUCAGUGUGAAAAACUACCGGUGGUAUAUGAUGGACCCGCGUCUGAUUAGCUAGUUGGUGGGGUAACGGCCUACCAAGUCGACGAUCAGUAGCCGGACUGAGAGGUUGACCGGCCACAUUGGGACUGAGAUACGGCCCAGACUCCUACGGGAGGCAGCAGUGGGGGAAUAUUGGGCAAUGGGCGAAAGCCUGACCCAGCAACGCCGCGUGAAGGAAGAAGGCCUCGG
rnacentral:rRNA from 1 species